CUUUGGCGAAGUAGGUAGCGAAUCAGUUUUGCAAGCUGAAGGUCCCGAGUUCGAUCCUCAGAAG
rnacentral:tRNA from 1 species